UGGGGAAUCUUCCGCAAUGGGCGAAAGCCUGACGGAGCAACGCCGCGUGAGUGAAGAAGGUCUUCGGAUCGUAAAGCUCUGUCGAAGGGGACGAACGUAGUUCUUGUGAAUAAUGAGAGCUAAUGACGGUACCUUUCAAGAAAGCCACGGCUAACUACGUGCCAGCAGCCGCGGUAAUACGUAGGUGGCGAGCGUUGUCCGGAAUGAUUGGGCGUAAAGGGAGCGCAGGCGGGAAAGUAAGUCUAUCUUAAAAAGUGCGGGGCUCAACCCCGUGAGGGGAUGGAAACUAGAAGACUUGAGUGCAGGAGAGGAAAGGGGAAUUCCCAGUGUAGCGGUGAAAUGCGUAGAUAUUGGGAGGAACACCAGUGGCGAAGGCGCCUUUCUGGACUGUGUCUGACGCUGAGAUGCGAAAGCCAGGGUAGCGAACGGGAUUAGAUACCCUGGUAGU
rnacentral:rRNA from 1 species